UACGGAGGGGGCUAGCGUUGUUCGGAUUUACUGGGCGUAAAGGGCGCGUAGGCGGUAUGUCAUGUCAGGGGUGAAAGGCCUGGGCUCAACCCAGGAACUGCCUUUGAAACUGGCAAACUAGAGUCCGAUAGAGGAUGGCGGAAUUCCCAGUGUAGAGGUGAAAUUCGUAGAUAUUGGGAAGAACACCAGUGGCGAAGGCGGCCAUCUGGAUCGGCACUGACGCUGAGGCGCGAAAGCGUGGGGAGCAAACAGG
rnacentral:rRNA from 1 species